rnacentral:rRNA from 1 species
UGGGGAAUAUUGGACAAUGGGCGAAAGCCUGAUCCAGCCAUGCCGCGUGUGUGAAGAAGGCCUUUUGGUUGUAAAGCACUUUAAGCGAGGAGGAGGCUACUUAGAUUAAUACUCUAGGAUAGUGGACGUUACUCGCAGAAUAAGCACCGGCUAACUCUGUGCCAGCAGCCGCGGUAAUACAGAGGGUGCGAGCGUUAAUCGGAUUUACUGGGCGUAAAGCGUGCGUAGGCGGCUUUUUAAGUCGGAUGUGAAAUCCCUGAGCUUAACUUAGGAAUUGCAUUCGAUACUGGGAAGCUAGAGUAUGGGAGAGGAUGGUAGAAUUCCAGGUGUAGCGGUGAAAUGCGUAGAGAUCUGGAGGAAUACCGAUGGAGAAGGCAGCCAUCUGGCCUAAUACUGACGCUGAGGUACGAAAGCAUGGGGAGCAAACAGG